rnacentral:rRNA from 1 species
AUUCCAGCUCCAAUAGCGUAUAUUAAAGUUGUUGCAGUUAAAAAGCUCGUAGUUGGAUCUCAGGGUGAGCUCAGUUGGUCGGCCUAAUUGGUCAGAACUGGCUGACUCUCCCUUGUUUCUGAAUCCCGGUCGGAGUUAAUUCUUCGUUCGUGGACUUCAGAUCGUUUACCUUGAAAAAAUUAGAGUGUUCAAAGCGGGCGUUUGCUUGAAUACAUUAGCAUGGAAUAAUGGAAUAGGACCCUGGUUCUACUUUGUUGGUUUUGAGGACCAGAGUAAUGAUUAAUAGGGAUAGUUGGGGGCAUUCAUAUUUAAUUGUCAGAGGUGAAAUUCUUGGAUUUAUGAAAGAUGAACUUCUGCGAAAGCAUUUGCCAAGGAUGUUUUCAUCA